GUUUUUGCACUCUCCCUAUACUCUCGAGAACCUGUGCGAUUGGUCGGAGCAUAAAAGAAAGCCUACCAGAGAUUGGGGGCGACGCCGAAGACAUUCGCCGGAACCGGGGUUUACGUCGGGUUUAACUCGGUUUGUUCGAGAUGAAACAGUGUUUGAAGAGGCAGAGGAAAAACGCUCUCGUUCAUUCGGUUUCUCAAUCUUUACUCAUGCGUUAUUUUGCAAGGAACUGCAAACGCAACCACUGUGAGUAG
rnacentral:lncRNA from 1 species